AUGUUUUUAGUAGUUCAUAUUUUUCAUUUUUUAAAUAUUUUUAGUAGUUCAUAUUUUUCCUUCUUUAUGUUUUUUAUUUCAUAUAGAUUUUUUAAUGUUUUUUACAGUUAUAUUUGUUCCUUUUUAUGUUUUUUAUGUAUUAUUAUUUCAUAUGGAUUUUUAAUGUUUUUUAACCACUCGGCCCUCUCCUCUCCCGGAACCACACAGAGGGGAGGGGAGGCGCGGAACUCGAGUAGCUUCGUCCGCCGAGGCCGUGGCCUGGUCGCGGGUCUGGGAGCACAUGGCCGCCGACUCGCCGUCCGUGAGGGGGGGCCACGCCCCGGAGACGCGUGUCGCCUCUUCGGACAUGCCACCACACCACCCCGCAUGUAUGAGGGCCCGGUGCGACGCUCCGGUGGCAUUGCUACCCUCCUGGGCUCACGUCCCGCCUAA
rnacentral:rRNA from 1 species